UUGAAGAACAGCGCUCUUUAA
rnacentral:piRNA from 1 species